rnacentral:rRNA from 1 species
CCUACGGGUGGCAGCAGUGGGGGAUAUUGCACAAUGGGGGAAACCCUGAUGCAGCGACGCCGCGUGGGUGAAGAAGCGCCUCGGCGCGUAAAGCCCUGUCAGCAGGGAAGAAAAUGACGGUACCUGAAGAAGAAGCCCCGGCUAACUACGUGCCAGCAGCCGCGGUAAUACGUAGGGGGCAAGCGUUAUCCGGAUUUACUGGGUGUAAAGGGGGCGCAGACGGGGGUGCAAGCCAGGAGUGAAAGGCCGGGGCCCAACCCCGGGACUGCACUUGGAACUGCGUGGCUAGAGUGCAGGAGGGGCAGGCGGAAUUCCUGGUGUAGCGGUGAAAUGCGUAGAUAUCAGGAGGAACACCGGUGGCGAAGGCGGCCUGCUGGACUGCAACUGACGUUGAGGCCCGAAAGCGUGUGGAGCAAACAGGAUUAGAUACCCUGGUAGUC